rnacentral:rRNA from 1 species
GCCCCCCUCAAGAUGAGAUUUCCCAAUUAGUAAGACCCCUUGAAGACGACGAGGUUGAUAGGUUCGGGGUGGAAGCACGGCAACGUGUGGAGCUGACGAAUACUAAUCGGUCGAGGGCUUAUCCUA